CCCUUAGAUGUCCCGGGCCGCACGCGCGCUACACUGAGUGUCUGAGAUACGAGUCUGCCUAGCCGGCGAGGUCUAGGUAAUCGCUGAAGGACACAUCAUCCUUGGGAUAGAUUAUUGCAGAUAUUAAUCUUGAACGAGGAAUUCCUAGUAAGCGCAAGUCAACAGCUUGCGUUGAUUACGUCCCUGCCCUUUGUGCACACCGCCCGUCGCUACUACUGAUUGGAUGUUUAAGCGAGGUUCUCGAACUGCUAGCGACUUAGCUUCGGUGAGGUCGCCGUGUGGGAAGUGAACCUAGCUUUGGUGUCUAGAGGAAGUAAAAGUCGUAUCA
rnacentral:rRNA from 1 species